UCCCAACAUCAGGGUCUUUUCCAGGGAGUCUUCUCUUCUCAUGAGGUGGCCAAAGUAUUGGAGCCUCAACUUCACAAUCUGUCCUUCCAGUGAGCACUCAGGGCUGAUUUCCUUCAGAAGGGAGAGGUUUGAUCUUCUUGCAGUCCAUGGGACUCUCAAGAGUCUCCUCCAGCACCAUAACUCAAAAGCAUCCAUUCUUCGGCAAUCAGCCUUCUUUAUGGUCCAGCUCUCACUUCCAUACAUCACUACUGGGAAAACCAUAGCUUUAACUAUACGGACCUUUGUUGGCAAGGUGAUGUCUCUGCUUUUUAAGAUGCUGUCUAGGUUUGUCAUUGCUUUUCUCCCAAGAAGCAGGCAUCUUUUAAUUUCGUGGCUGCUGUCACCAUUUGCAGUGAGUUCCGGUCCUAGCGUUGGGCAAAGGGAGAC